UAACAAGAAUACAUCGGAGGU
ensembl:piRNA 21ur-2933 ncRNA